rnacentral:rRNA from 1 species
GCCUAACACAUGCAAGUCGAACGGUAACAGGAAGAAGCUUGCUUCUUUGCUGACGAGUGGCGGACGGGUGAGUAAUGUCUGGGAAACUGCCUGAUGGAGGGGGAUAACUACUGGAAACGGUAGCUAAUACCGCAUAACGUCGCAAGACCAAAGAGGGGGACCUUCGGGCCUCUUGCCAUCGGAUGUGCCCAGAUGGGAUUAGCUAGUAGGUGGGGUAACGGCUCACCUAGGCGACGAUCCCUAGCUGGUCUGAGAGGAUGACCAGCCACACUGGAACUGAGACACGGUCCAGACUCCUACGGGAGGCAGCAGUGGGGAAUAUUGCCCAAUGGGCGCAAGCCUGAUGCAGCCAUGCCGCGUGUAUGAAGAAGGCCUUCGGGUUGUAAAGUACUUUCAGCGGGGAGGAAGGGAGUAAAGUUAAUACCUUUGCUCAUUGACGUUACCCGCAGAAGAAGCACCGGCUAACUCCGUGCCAGCAGCCGCGGUAAUACGGAGGGUGCAAGCGUUAAUCGGAAUUACUGGGCGUAAAGCGCACGCAGGCGGUUUGUACAAGUCAGAUGUGAAAUCCCCGGGCUCA